GCGUUGUUGGUGUAGUGGUUAGCAUUGAAGCCUUCCACCCGUUAAGUGAUCACGGAAGUCUAGCUUUAGUCCGGGGUUCGAAUCCCCGACAACGCA
rfam:Puccinia graminis f. sp. tritici CRL 75-36-700-3 supercont2.85 genomic scaffold, whole genome shotgun sequence.